CUACGGGAGGCACCAGUGGGGAAUAUUGCACAAUGAGCGAAAGCUUGAUGCAGCCAUACCGCGUGUGUGAAGAAGGCCCGAGGGUUGUAAAGCACUUUCAAUUGUGAGGAAGGUUCAGUAGUUAAUACCUGCUGUUCUUGACGUUAACUUUAGAAGAAGCACCGGCUAACUCAGUGCCAGCAGCCGCGGUAAUACAGAGGGUGCAAGCGUUAUUCGGAAUUACUGGGCGUAAAGCGCGCGUAGGCGGAUUGUUAAGUCAGUUGUGAAAGCCCUGGGCUCACCCUGGGAACUGCAUCUGAUACUGGAAAUCUAGAGUUUAAGAGAGGGGAGUGGAAUUCCAGGUGUAGCAGUGAAAUGCGUAGAUAUCUGGAGGAACAUCAGUGGCGAAGGCGACUUCCUGGCUUAAAACUGACGCUGAGGUGCGGAAGCGUGGGUAGCGAACGGGAUUAGAUACCCGCGUAGUC
rnacentral:rRNA from 1 species